rnacentral:rRNA from 1 species
GAUGAACGCUGGCGGCGUGCCUAAUACAUGCAAGUCGAGCGAACGGACGAGAAGCUUGCUUCUCUGAUGUUAGCGGCGGACGGGUGAGUAACACGUGGAUAACCUACCUAUAAGACUGGGAUAACUUCGGGAAACCGGAGCUAAUACCGGAUGAUAUUUUGAACCGCAUGGUUCAAAAGUGAAAGACGGUCUUGCUGUCACUUAUAGAUGGAUCCGCGCUGCAUUAGCUAGUUGGUAAGGUAACGGCUUACCAAGGCAACGAUGCAUAGCCGACCUGAGAGGGUGAUGGGCCACACUGGAACUGAGAACCGGUCCAAACUCCUACGGGAGGCAGCAGUAGGGAACCUUCCGCAAUGGGCGAAAGCCUGACGGAGCAACGCCGCGUGAGUGAUGAAGGUCUUCGGAUCGUAAAACUCUGUUAUUAGGGAAGAACAUAUGUGUAAGUAACUGUGCACAUCUUGACGGUACCUAAUCAGAAAGCCACGGCUAACUACGUG